GAUGAACGCUGACAGAAUGCUUAACACAUGCAAGUCCACUUGAAUUUGGGUUUUUAACUUAGGUUUGGGUGGCGGACGGGUGAGUAACGCGUAAAGAACUUGCCUCACAGCUAGGGACAACAUUUGGAAACGAAUGCUAAUACCUAAUAUUAUGAUAAUAGGGCAUCCUAUAAUUAUGAAAGCUAUAAGCGCUGUGAGAGAGCUUUGCGUCCCAUUAGCUAGUUGGAGAGGUAACGGCUCACCAAGGCGAUGAUGGGUAGCCGGCCUGAGAGGGUGAUCGGCCACAAGGGGACUGAGACACGGCCCUUACUCAGACGGGAGGCAGCAGUGGGGAAUAUUGGACAAUGGACCGAGAGUCUGAUCCAGCAAUUCUGUGUGCACGAUGAAGUUUUUCGGAAUGUAAAGUGCUUUCAGUUGGGAAGAAACAAAUGACGGUACCAACAGAAGAAGUGACGGCUAAAUACGUG
rnacentral:rRNA from 1 species